UGUUGAUUGGUUCGCUGCGCCACCGCACUCUGGGCAGCCGCUUGUAGCUGACCGCUUGUGGCCGUUAUCGGUGCUCCGUGCCGUUUGUGUUGUGCUCGCGCUCCAGUGAACCCCCUGUCCGCGUCAGCAUGGGCGUCGAAGUGCAGACCAUCUCUCCCGGCGACGGUCAGACAUUCCCAAAAACUGGUCAGACAGUUGUGGUCCAUUACACAGGUACCUUGGCAGAUGGCUCAAAGUUUGACUCCUCACGGGAUAGGGGCAAGCCAUUCAAGUUUCGCAUCGGCAAAGGGGAAGUUAUUCGCGGCUGGGACGAGGGUGUCGCUCAGAUGAGUGUCGGCCAGCGAGCCAAGCUGAUCUGCUCGCCAGACUAUGCCUAUGGAGCCAUGGGUCACCCUGGCAUAUAUCCUUGGAAGGUCGUCAUAGACUGACUUCAAACAUAGUAACAGAGGAGGGGGAUGGCAUUCAGCUGCUGAGAACAAGAAAGCAUCCACUACAGAUGCGUGUGCUGUUGCCUCCUUGACUACACUGCACAAUCCCGCCCAACGCUGUGCUCACCUUCGACGUGGAACUGCUGCGGCUCGAGUAAAAGGCACGGUUGCUCCACACCCCCCCAGCUCUCCGAGCAAGCAGCGGCGCCAUGCCUGGCUCCUGACUUCGCUCACCUUUCCCCCAAUCCCCACCACCAAGCGUUUCUGUUUGUUUGUUUCAUUUGUUUUGUCUCCUCCUUGCCCCCAGCAAAGUCUCUCGGACAACGGCUUGACCUUCCUCUUGUGGGCAGUUGAAGGGCAGCCUUGUUUGCACCCUGCGUCAGGCCUCCUCCGAGCAGCGGACAACACACUUUUCUCUAUUGAACAGCAUCCGGGAGAGGGAAUUUUUUCGAGAAUUGAGAUUCACGCCCCAUCCGCUUUGAACAUGUGUUUUCUUUUUUGCCGGGCGGAUAAUGCUCAUCGUGCCCAAUGAACUAGCCCAAAUUGUGCGGGAAACCUUCCAUUUCUUCCCGCGUGCUCUCCAGCCGACGAGUUGCCGCUAGUGACCCAGGCCACCUCGUGAACAAAAAGGAGUUUCAGCAGAAUCUGAUGACACGUUGCAAGAACCGCCGUGGAUACGUUUGUGGCAGUGUUGGGAAUCCCAGGGUGGUCUGCCGUCAGGAGACGUCCACCAAUCGCCGAGGAGAGUCCUGACAGUGUGCGCGCAGCGGAAGCAGCAGUGAGCACGUGUCCUCUUCUUGCCUCGGCAUUUGAGAUCCCGUGCUUUGGUGGUGUUUCAGGGCAGCCGACCACUCUGCUCGAAGGAGCCUUUGACAUUGGACUUGCCAAGAAAGCUGCUGUGUUUCUCCGUGUACGCUCUCUGGUUGUUGGGGACGUGGUGCUGGCGCGGUGCCUCGAUGAUGCCGCAUUGCCGCACUGCACCCUGGAACUAUGCACCCCUCCCGUGCCCUGUACCUGUGUGUGAGAAAUAGAGAUGUUCCAAAUGCA